AACAGUACAGACUUCAAAGUUUUGUACCCCACACUGACUGAUUAUGACAUACGUUACUACAUAUAUGAGCUUCUCAAGGCAUUGGAUUACUGCCAUUCACAAGGAAUAAUGCAUAGAGAUGUCAAGCCUCACAAUGUCAUGAUUGACCAUGAGUUGCGAAAACUUCGCUUGAUAGACUGGGGUCUUGCCGAAUUUUACCAUCCUGGCAAGGAAUAUAAUGUUCGGGUGGCAUCAAGAU
rnacentral:misc_RNA from 1 species